CCUUCAAAAGGCGUCUGGCCAGAUGCUCACGGAAAGUACCCGGGUGAGGGUUCCUUCAUUAUACUGUUCCUUCCCAGUCAUCUAGGACAUGGUGGGAAAUAGUGGCUGUAAAACUUCUUGCAAUGGGAAUGUGCACUGAGUAUUUUCUUUUUUUUUGAAUCCCCCUUAGAACCAGGAACCUAUUAAUUUUCCAAGUGCUGCAAGUAUUUACUUUUAAUUAUUGCCCGAACUGCUCGUUUCACAUACAGGAUAUGGAGUCAAGAAUUUGAACCUGUUGGGCAAGAGACUUCUGAACAUCCUGGAGCUGGUUGGGCCAUGUUUGUUGCAAAACAGCAGAAAUGAUGGGGUUAUAAAUCAAAAUCACUUUCUUGUCCCACCCAUUCUUUAAACCAGGUGGCAAUCCCGGGGCACUGUGAUACAGCAACACCCUUUUUAUCUUUAGGUGGAGUUUUUGCAGCAGAACCACUGCUUUUGAGUAUUCCCACUGAGGAGAUGAUCCCAGCUGGGUGUUGUCAGAGCACUGCAGAGCACCAAGGAUUCUUAAGGCAGGUGAUUUGAGUGCUCCUGUUUAGUCUAGAGUAGUUUUAGCUGUUCGUACGCUAAGUUAAGCUUUGUUUGACUUCACAGUACAUACUGUCUUUAAGCUAAGAUGUUCUCAUGCCCUGAAUGCCUUAUUUAAAAGCUGACUGGGUGUUAGCCUGGAGUGAUGUAGUGGUGUAUGCACAGGAGGAAGGGCACCUUCAUUUUUCCAUACCAGCAUCAAGGGAUAACAUGGAAUAAUGGCUGAGCUGGACACAAGGAAUCCGAUUCUUGCGUGUAUUGGGACCAAAGCUGAUUAGUAAACAUGCAAAUAAGUUGUCCCAUGCAUAUAACCAUGGCAAUCAAUCCAAACUUGUGGGAAACAUUGCAAGUAAGUUUGGAAGAAAAGCAGGUAAUGAAUUAGACUUUAUUGGUAUAAAUUCUGUAGGUUGAUCUAUAGAUAAAUUCUUGUCGCUGUAUAGAUCCAGAUUUCUGGAUCAAUAGCUACUCCCUCAGUUCUGAAAUAGAAAUCUGAAGCUAAUCCCUUCUCACUAGGCAAGAUUAAGAAUCUUUGCCAUGUCAGGGAUGGACAGAUAAUGUGGAUAUGCUGGGUCAAAGCCUUAAGUCAUUCCCGUGGCUUACACAAAGAUCCACAGAAAGCUCUUGUCUGCUGCUGCUGCGGAUUGUCUUUGUGCCAGGAGGAACAGGAGGACUCGCUCUGUGCUUUGCUGUUUUCAGAGCUUUUAGCCCUGAAAGGCACUAAAAAUACAGGAUAUGAAACUCAGAUCACUUGAGCAGGCUUUUGGUGAAACAUCUCUGCCCAGAGAUGGGAGCAGAUUGCCUAACAAAUGAAAGCUCUCUGUGAAAUUUAUUUGCUCCAUUGUACCUAAUAAAUUUGAAAAGAUUAAGUGAAUCAUAACAGCACAGAAGGCUGUGAUUCACCAUUCUCCUGCAACGUGACAUGAGGUUACACUCCUGACCAUGCACAGGCUGGGAGCUGACCAUGGACUGGGGAACUCCGAAUAUGCCGGCUCUGUGAUGGAGUCAGGCCUGAGCCCAGAGCCAGGCAGGCAAAGCACUCUCCUAAAUAUUUAUCAUUCUUAUCUCAGCUGUGAGGAUUGGGCUGGCCAAGCCAGGUGUUUCCCAGGUAGGUGUCUGAGAGCACAGGCACAGGAACAUGUCACUGCAGGGUGGCCCCUGGGAGGUGCCAGGCUGAGCUGGCUCUCCCUGAGCACAUGCCUGCCCUGCCAGGGAAGCACAGGGAAGGAGGUGUGUGGGCACAGCCACCCGGGCUGGGAAUUCUCCCACAUUCUCCUGAAGGGUUGAGGUGGAGUUGUUGUGUUGCUGGGUGGGAUUUUUUAUGGGUGGUGAGGAGGUGUUCUUUUAUAUGCUGGGCACGUUGCAUUUUUCCAAAGAAAAUAUGAGCUUCCUAAUAAAUGGGGAAAUGUGGGUGCUGCCAGCUCUGGAGCUCGUUGUGCAAGUGCCCCUGUGAGAAAUGUCAGCACGUGGUGCUGAGUCAGCACAGCAGAGAGGGCCAGGGCAGUUGGGGGUGACCCGCACAAGGUGCCUCAGAUCCCGAGCUGGCACCUCCCUGGCUUUACAGGUGAGCUGGAAUGUGGUGUGCCCGGCAGGGGGGAUGGAUGGAACCCUCCUCUGCACCAGAUGGCAGCUCUUGUAAGAGCAGCAACCCUGUGGAGAGGCCACGGUGCUCACAUGGGUGCAAGUGGGUCCUAACGAGUUGACUGGCAGGGCUGUCUUUUGACCUUAAUGAAUUUCUGCUCAUUAAGGUCACCUGUAAAUGCAGCCUCCCUGAAAUGAGUCCGCCUGAGAGUGUCAUGGAGCACAGGGGUCAGGGGAUGGUUGGAUUCAUUAGGGAUGGGCUUGUGUGCUGGAGAACCUCCAUCCCUGGCUGCUGCAAGCUCCUCUUAGAGAUUCCUUACUUCUUUGCACCUGAUUAUUUUGGGUUUUUUUCAUGUAAAUAUGCAGUCUCUCAAUCCCAAUAAAUAACUUGCUCACGGUAAGAGCUCAUGGUGAGAGCAGGGGAGCCUGAGCUGAGCCAAACAGCAAUGCAGGAUGAUGUGCAGUGAUGGUAACGUGCUAAUUAAUGCCAUCUCUGGAGUUAAUUAUGUCUCCUAGUUCUAAGGAAGCACCCACAGACCUUCCACUUAUCACAGUACACCUGGAACUGACUGCCCCAGGGGUGGAAACACAGUCCCACCAUUUGCCAUGGUGCUACACUAGAGAAGGGUGAGGCUCCAGAACACAUACAGUAUAUUGAUGACAUCGUCGUGUGGGGGGACACAGCAGAGGGAGUUUUUGAAAAAGGAAAGGAAAUUAUCCAGAUUCUCCUCAAAGCCAGUUUUGCCAUCAAAAAGAGUAAGGUCAAGGGACCUGCCAGAGAGAUCCAGUUCUUAGGGGUGAAAUGGCAAGAUGGAUGUCAUCAGAUUCCAACAGGAGUCAUCAACAAGAUCAUAGCGAUGGCUCCACCAGCUAACCAGAAGGAAACACAAGCUUUCCUGGGUGUCCUGUGAUCAGCUGCACUGCUGCUGAUCCCAGGCUUCCCCUUCACACCACGUGUACAGCACGUGACGUUCCAGAUGAACAGCAAUCUCCGGGGAGGGGGGAAUUUGGUGAUUUAGAAGAUCUGUUGUAUUUUCAUUAGCUUUUGUCAUUGUUUUUUGACAACUGAAAAUGGCUCCUGAAAAGUUUAAAUGGGGAGAAGAAAUUUUCCUUAUCAGGUCUGUGGCUUAUUAAUAUAUUAAGGCAUAUUUUGUCAUGUGUAUGGUGACUUCACAUACAUAUUUUAAGAGACUAUAACUUCUAUAACUUUCUUCCUUUUCUGUCUUUAUGUCAGAUUUUCUGAGGGAAGAAAGCAAAAGUUACAAUUUCUAUGUGGAGGAGAUUUGAGAUGUCUUUGUGUGCCAAUAAGUCACUUUUUCAGCAAGAAAAAAGCCCAAACCCAAAAAUGACUUCCUUGGUUAUUCUUUUCCCCUCUCAAAUGGUAACAGCCACCAGAUGGACCUUGUGGCCAGGAGAAGGAGCAGCUGUGGAUUAAAACAUUCACCACGCUGAGAUUUGGGGGAGUUGGGUAAAACAACAUACAACUGGAGAGAGCAUCAUUUCCCCCACCAGGCAGUGGAACGGAGCGAGUCCCCGUGUGUGAGGCUCUGCAGGGACCCUGGGCAGGGUCAGUGGCCUCCUGUGCUUGCAGCAGGGACAAAUUUCCCAGACCCCUUGGUCAUGGAUGCUCUGGGGUUUGUAAGAGGCAUUAGCACCAUUACGUAAGCACGAUCCAUGCCAAGGUCAGAGGCUGGAGUUUCAGCCCUCUUGCCAAAGCCAUAUAAGCACCUUUAGUGAUCUGCUCCGGCUGCCAGGCACCUCUCCAGGGGACAGAGAAGAACCUGCAGGUCCCUCAGCAUCAGGGACAAUCAGAUCCCUUACCUGGAGGUGGCUAAAUACAGAUUUAAGAGCUGCAAUCGCCCGCUCUGAGCACUCACACCGGUGUUGUGUCACCCCAGUGUGCAAGGACAGGCUCGUGGUAUGGAAAAAUGGAAACUUCCAGGGCUUACCUAAAGGAAAAACACCAUGUGUGGUGUAGUGAUGAGGUCACUGUGUUUGGGGGAAAAACAUGGUUUCAAAACACCAGGAUGGGACUUUAUUUGCAAAAGAAGAGAUCAUGGGUGGAAUAAAACACAAAGCAAGCUGGGCUGACGUAGAAA